rnacentral:sRNA from 1 species
GCUGGGCAUGGUGGCGCAUGCCUGUAAUCCCAGCAGCUUGGGAGGUUGAAGCAGGAGACUCAUGAGUUCAAAGCCAGCGUCAACAAAAGUGAGGCACUAAGCAACUCAGUGAGACCCUGUCUCUA